CACCAGAUGGCUGAAAUGUUAGUAGUGGUCUCUUAAACCAUUAAAUAGUAUAGUUACGUUAUACUUCUAGUGA
rnacentral:tRNA from 1 species